UUUAAGUGAUGGUUACAAAAUGGUACUAUUAGCAGAAAAUAAUAUUGUACCACCAAAGCUCGUAGCAAGAGCUCUCAACAGAUAAUGAGAACUAGAUUGACUUACAGUACUAGCUUCAGGUUCUCAAUUUCUCAUCCAGACUUAUUUUUUAAGUGGUGUCCAAGUUUCACUCCUUUGAGAGAGAGGGCAAUAAAUAACGAAGGUGGCAAAUAAAAGGUUAGAGUUACCAGGCUGAAAAACUAAGUAUUGGCAAAAUCUUGGUUUUAUUUGUAUGUAGAACUAAACAUAAACUAGUAUGUAAGAAGCCUACUAAGAUGUAAGGAAAUGAUAUUGGCAAAGAUAACCUCAAGUAGGUCUUCAACACCUGGUGGCAAACCCUUAAGUGAACUUUGGGCUCUGCUGGAAGUGGGCUUUGAAAGCUGUGCAGGCUCCGAGAAGAUCAUAUGCUCCAGGACCUAUUUCAGCACGUCCAGCGAUGGUAGUGGACAUGAGUAGCUCUCUCAGGAGAAAAUGACAAGAUGAGAGUGUUUUCCCAGAAAGAAGAACCAGGGACUUCCAGAGGAACCAACUAAGGAACUUACUCCACUGCCAGAGCUAUGUGCCUUUUCAGUUCUGUCCAUUGGUUUUAUAAUUGUUUUUAUAAUUGUUUGGACCUGUGAAGGUGGUGUGUUGGCCCAUUCUUCCGACUUCCCAAUGGAAGGUUUUAUUGCGGUUAUGCUGUCCCUUUUCUGCCAUAGUGUUUCAAGUGUGUUGGAGGCAGGAUUUUUCUCUGUUUAUAGGUCACCAGGCUAAGGGGAAUACCACCUUACUUGACAGAGGGAACUGUGCAUCACCCAGAGAUCCUAGACUCAAAGCAGUAGCUGGGGAAGACUUUGGGUUGUGUCCCCUGGAGAAGGGAGUGUGUUCUUGUAGAGAAGGAGUACACAUAGAUGGAGAUAAAUUGCCAAAUAAUCCUCAUCAUCAAGAGCAAUGGAGACAGAUUUGACUAAGGUCACAGCUCAAGAUGAAUUUGGGAAACAGUGAGUCAUUGCCAGAUUAAUGAAUCAAUUUUCUUAGGAUAAAACUACAAAUCUUAUUUUUGCCAAUUCUGCUAAACACAGAACUGAAUUAACGUAUUUUAAAUAGCUGUCAUCUUAUUGAGCCUCUUUGAUAUGCAAAAGAUAAAUUUUUCACAUGGAAAAGAUUUCUAAGCUAAUAAUAUACAUUUUGGUACAUUUAAAUUAAAUGAAAAAGAAAAAAAUCGUCUAACCUGAUGACAAUAUGAUGUCAGCUUCUCUGAAAGUACCAAUAAAUGGAUGACACUUACAUAUAUUUUUUAAUGC
rnacentral:lncRNA from 1 species